UACGGAGGGUGCGAACGUUAAUCGGAAUUACUGGGCGUAAAGCGCACGUAGGCGGUUCGUUAAGUGAGGUGUGAAAUCCCCGGGCUCAACCUGGGAAUGGCAUUUCAGACUGGCGGACUCGAGUACGGUAGAGGGGGGUGGAAUUUCCUGUGUAGCGGUGAAAUGCGUAGAUAUAGGAAGGAACACCAGUGGCGAAGGCGGCCCCCUGGACUGAUACUGACGCUGAGGUGCGAAAGCGUGGGGAGCAAACAGG
rnacentral:rRNA from 1 species